rnacentral:rRNA from 1 species
AGCGAACGCUGGUGGCAGGCCUAACACAUGCAAGUCGAACGAAGUCUUCGGACUUAGUGGCGGACGGGUGAGUAACACGUGGGAACGUGCCUUUAGGUUCGGAAUAACUCAGGGAAACUUGUGCUAAUACCGAAUGUGCCCUUCGGGGGAAAGAUUUAUCGCCUUUAGAGCGGCCCGCGUCUGAUUAGCUAGUUGGUGAGGUAAGGGCUCACCAAGGCGACGAUCAGUAGCUGGUCUGAGAGGAUGAUCAGCCACAUUGGGACUGAGACACGGCCCAAACUCCUACGGGAGGCAGCAGUGGGGAAUCUUGCGCAAUGGGCGAAAGCCUGACGCAGCCAUGCCGCGUGAAUGAUGAAGGCCUUAGGAUUGUAAAAUUCUUUCACCGGGGACGAUAAUGACGGUACCCGGAGAAGAAGCCCCGGCUAACUUCGUGCCAGCAGCCGCCGUAAUAC